UACGUAGGGUGCGAGCGUUAAUCGGAAUUACUGGGCGUAAAGCGUGCGCAGGCGGUUGUGCAAGACCGAUGUGAAAUCCCCCGGGCUUAACCUGGGAACUGCAUUGGUGACUGCACGGCUAGAGUGUGUCAGAGGGGGGUAGAAUUCCACGUGUAGCAGUGAAAUGCGUAGAGAUGUGGAGGAAUACCGAUGGCGAAGGCAGCCCCCUGGGAUAACACUGACGCUCAUGCACGAAAGCGUGGGGAGCAAACAGG
rnacentral:rRNA from 1 species